rnacentral:rRNA from 1 species
AAAUAAAUAAUUAUUCAUUUUGUUUGGUUUUAUUUAUAUAAUAAAAAUAAUUUUAAAAAUUUGUAUUUAAGUAUAUUUUAUAGAAAAAAUUAGUUUAAUUAUAGUUUAUUAGUAUUGUGAAAGAAGUUUUAAUUUUAAUUUUUAUAUAAAAGUAAAAUUUAUUUUUUGUACCUUGUGUAUCAGGGUUUAUUAAUUAAUUAAUAUAAAAUUUAUUAUUCCCGAUUUUAAGAGAGAUAAUAGAUAAUUUUAUUUAUUGUUAAAAAAAUAUUUAUAAUUAUUUGUUAGUAAUGAAAAGUUAUUCGUUCUUAAAUGUAUCUGGUUUAUUUAUAAAUGAAUUUAAUUCAGUUAAUUUAAUUUAAUUAAUUUAAAUAUUUAAUUUAAUUAAUUAAUUUAAUAAUAAUUAAAGGGAUAAGCUUUUAAUUAAAUUUCUAUAAUUUUUUUAGUUAGAAAUAAGUUUAUAGGUUUAGAAAUAUCCAUUAUUUUUAUGAUGUUAUAAUUAAUUUAUAGGUCAAUAUUAUUUUAAAAUUAUUUAGUUUUUUAUAAAUAAGUAAUAUUAAACAAUAAAAUUUUAGUUAUAAUGAUAAAAUUAGUAUAUUAAUAAUUGUUUGAAAUAUUUAUUGAUUUAAAUUUAUUUAAAUUAAUUCGGCAAAAUUAUUAUUCGCCUGUUUAACAAAAACAUGUCCUUUAGGAUUAGUAUUUAAGGUCUAACCUGCCCAUUGAUUAAUAUUUAACGGCCGCAGUAAUUUGACUGUGCAAAGGUAGCAUAAUCAUUAGUUUUUUAAUUGAAAGCUUGUAUGAAUGGUUGGACGAGAUAAAAACUGUCUCUAAAUAAUAAAUAGAAUUUAAUUUUUAAGUUAAAAAGCUUAAAUUUAUUUAAAAGACGAGAAGACCCUAUAGAUCUUUAUAUAAUUUUUUUUAAUUUUAUAAAUGAUUAUUUAAUUGAUUAAAAUUUUUUAUAUUUUAUUGGGGUAAUAUAUAGAUUAAAUAAAUUCUUUUAGAUUUAACAUUAAUUAAUGAUUUUGGGAUCCAUUUUUAAUGAUUAUAAGAUUAAGUUACCUUAGGGAUAACAGCGUAAUUUUUUUAGAGAGUUCUUAUCGAUAAAAAAGUUUGCGACCUCGAUGUUGGAUUAAAAAUUAUUUUAGGCGUAGAAGUUUAAAAUUUUGGUCUGUUCGACCAUUGAAUUUUUACAUGAUCUGAGUUCAGACCGGUGUAAGCCAGGUCGGUUUCUAUCUUUAUAAAAUUAAAAUAUUUUAGUACGAAAGGACCGAAUAUUAAAUAUAUUAAUAUUUUAGAUUUUGAUUUAAAUU